UUCUACAUGCUGCUCACGUGACUGGAACAGGAAGAAGAAGCAUGACCUCAUGUUCCAGAAACUUCGCAAUGCUGUUUUAAUGAAGAGGACGUCUGGAAUCAUCUCAAAGUUCGUUUUGGACACAAAAUGCUGCAGACAUGUAAAAAUGAAGAAGACAGCUGAGUCCUGAACAAGAUGCUAUAGAUAAUAAUUGCCCGAAGAGAAAAGUCCUUGUCGGAAGAAAAUUCAUGAACCCCUUUAAAACAUAGAAGCUUCAAAAGAGGAUGGAUCACUCAGAAGACUUGUGAAUGAUCAUCACGUAAAUCCAAACUGCAACAUGAAGAAAAUAAUUGUGGAAGGAAAGCCACAUUUGUGCUUAUUUGCCAUUAAAACAAUAUCUCCAUGAAUCUUAUACUGCCAGUACUGAAUCAGUACUGUAAAAUUCAUCCUCACCAGAGAAUGAGAAGGAGUCCUAUAACAAAAUAUAUGAGAUGAAUGCCAAGAACCACCGAGCUUCAGCACCAACAGGAAACGAUAAUGAAAAACAAAACUGAUUGAAACCCUGGAUGAGGCCACCAGCUCACCUGCAGCCAUGAGUCCAGAUGGCAACCGCAGGAGAGCUGUGGAUGAAGAAUUAAGUGAAUGCUGUCAUGGAAUACUUCAAAGCCCAUAUUUCCCAAAGCUUGCAACAACAGUGUAAACUUGCUGAGGGUCCUCUUCUGAAAGAGAGAUCUGUUCAAAACAUGAGAUUUUGUGAGAAAUAGGGGCCUGAUGUCCAAAAAACUACAGGUGUCCAAGGUUAAACAGUAAUUGAUUACUCUUGUUGGCAUGCGAGUAAAAAUUGGAUAUGACCUAUGGUCCUGCUGCUCAUAGGAAAAUGGUUAUGUUGAAUUAAAGACAUUCUGUUCAGUCACCUUUUCAGUAUCUUGUUCAUUCAAAGCUCAAGAGUUGUCUGUUUUUAAAGGAUAACACCACUGUUUUGUUUCUUUUAUGUGAUGCUUAGAUUGUUCUUAUAUGAACAAAUCCCAUUCACAAAAGCCAAAAUAAAUGUCAUUAAAAUGCAUGUCACUUAAUUAAAACCCCAAAAAAACAUUUAGGCCUACUGUUGGCACUUCACAUCAACGUCAGUACGUCGCUCGCGGUUUUUUUUCUGUCGGCGUUUAUUUUUUAUGCUUUUGAGAGUGGUGUGCCAUGGGAUUCUGUAAAUUUGGAAAGUGUGCCGCGGAAGGAAAAGUUGGGAAACGCUGCCAUAAGGUGAUGCGCAGUUGGCUAUUUUGUCACCCAGGGUCUGGGAGGCUUCAGUCGGUUAGGGAUUGGUGUUUCAUUGCUCUCUGGCAAUCCCCCGCUAUAUUGAUUGGGCGCCCAUGGCCUGCAUGGAAAAACUGCAUUUGAAAGGUCUUCCUCCAACUCUACUCUAUGGGAUUUUAGCUGCGAGCCAAGAUGUGGAAAGAAGCAGGCUGGUGACACCACAUGUUUUGGAAGAAGAAACACAAAUGUCUUCAUUUUCCCGAAAUGGCAGUGGAGAUUGUGCAUGAACAUGCUUACAAAUAGUCAAUUGGAUAUUCCAAAUUAGGGUGGGAAUUGGAUAUACUCAUUGGAUAUACUUGGACAUGCCAAAUUUAUAUUUGAAAAGUCGUGAUUUUGCACAGAACUAGAGGGAUGAAGCAGUUGGCCCUUAUGACUGUCAUUCAUUUAGCAUUAGCUGUUAUCACGGCUGGCUCAAAAACCAUGACAAAUAACAAGAGAUGACACAAGAAGUUAAAGCAAAAAGAAACAGUCAUUUAUUUUAAACAACAAAAUAUAUGUUGGUACAAGGAAAAACAAAGACGGGGAGCGUGGAGCAUAGGGAGCAGAGUUUCCCCUUCUUCUUCUCAUCAUGGAGCAAGUGGGGCGUGCUCUUAUAGUACUGGGAACACCGGCCCUCUCCUGUCCUCCGCUGACAUCUACCACACAGGGCUGGGUGUGCUUGGCUCAGGCUUACUUAGUCCAUCUUCACUUGUGGGUGCAGUGGGUGCCAAGGAACAUGGACUAGGAGCAUUUGCAAGCUCAGUGGGUGCAGUGGAACAUGGACCGGAUUCACUUGUGGGCUCAGUGGAUGCAGUGGAACAUGGACCGGAUUCACUUGUGGGCUCAGAGGAUUCACUUCCUCCUGGCUCCAUCUUAGCAAGAACACCCGUGCCUUUGGAAAGUGAAGCUUGAGGUCAACAAAGACAAAGACAGGAGGGACAGAUGUAUGGAGGCCUUGUGCAACCAACUAAAUUCUGCACAGACAGAAGUUGUCACAGUCGAUAUCAUUAAAAAAAUUCAAAAACCUGCGGACAACCUUUCAGCGGGAAAAUAAAGCAGCAUCCAGUAAGCGGUCAGGCGAUGGAGCAGAUGACGUUUACAUUCCAAGAUGGAAAUACUAUAAAGACCUGCUUUUUUUGAAAGAAGGAGGAGAACGCAACGAGACUGAAGACAAUAUCCCAUCCCAACCCAUCCAAAUUGAAACCGCAACUCCAGACAAGACGGCUUCCAAAAAUGUAAAAAAACAAAAAACGGGACAUCAGCAAAGCAGAGGUGGCAAUGAAGUAUGCCUUGGAGUGCUUGAAAAGACUAGAACAGAAGCCGGAGUCAGUACAUGCAGGAUUUUUAAAAUAUUUAGAUGAGUGUCUGCAAGAGAAACUGGAGAAGUGUGAAGAGGAAGAUUAUUGAAAUUGUACACACCAAUAUAGAAGAGUAAUCUCAGAACUAGUUUAACCAAUGAGUUUUUUUUAUUACCCAUUUUAUUUAAGUAAUAACAUACAAGAGGAAAGACUGUACUGUAAUUAAUGUUCAAUAAAAUCUAACAAAAUUUCAUUUUA